UCUUAAAAAAUAUUAGUAUGAUCACAAAUAUAUCUCAAAUAAAUCUCAAUCCAAUCUUAAUUUAAUCCUAGUUAAAAUCCUAUUAUACUUCAUUCAAACUUUAGGCCAAAAACUAACUAAAUCUUAAAUUGUAAAUAAAUCCUAAACGAACCUUAAUCAAAUCCUAAUAAAAUCCUAAAUCCUAAAUUAAAUCCUAACCAAAUCCUAAAUCCUAAAUUAACUCUUAAUCAAAUCUUAAUCCUAAAUCAAAUCCUAAUCAAAUCCUAAACCCUAAAUCCUAAACCAAAUCUUAACCAAAUCCUAAUCUUAAUUCAAUCCUCACCAAAUUCUAAACCUUAAACCAAAUCCUAAUCAAAUCCUAAAUCUUAUACCAAAUACUAAUCAAAUUCUAAACCUUAAAUCAAACCUUAAUCAAUCUCAAGUAAUUUUUAUAAUAAA
rnacentral:lncRNA from 1 species